rnacentral:rRNA from 1 species
AGAGUUUGAUCCUGGCUCAGGAUGAACGCUGGCGGCGUGCUUAACACAUGCAAGUCGAACGAUGAUCCCCAGCUUGCUGGGGGGAUUAGUGGCGAACGGGUGAGUAACACGUGAGUAACCUGCCCUUAACUCUGGGAUAAGCCUGGGAAACUGGGUCUAAUACCGGAUAUGACUCCUCAUCGCAUGGUGGGGGGUGGAAAGCUUUAUUGUGGUUUUGGAUGGACUCGCGGCCUAUCAGCUUGUUGGUGAGGUAAUGGCUCACCAAGGCGACGACGGGUAGCCGGCCUGAGAGGGUGACCGGCCACACUGGGACUGAGACACGGCCCAGACUCCUACGGGAGGCAGCAGUGGGGAAUAUUGCACAAUGGGCGCAAGCCUGAUGCAGCGACGCCGCGUGAGGGAUGACGGCCUUCGGGUUGUAAACCUCUUUCAGUAGGGAAGAAGCGAAAGUGACGGUACCUGCAGAAGAAGCGCCGGCUAACUACGUGCCAGCAGCCGCGGUAAUACGUAGGGCGCAAGCGUUAUCCGGAAUUAUUGGGCGUAAAGAGCU